AAGAGAAGCGAGGCUGUGAAGCGGAGCAAAUCUCAAAAACCGGUCCCAGUUCGGAUUGUAGGCUGCAACUCGCCUACAUGAAGUCGGAGUUGCUAGUAAUCGCGGAUCAGAAUGCCGCGGUGAAUGCGUUCCCGGGUCUUGUACACACCGCCCGUCACACCAUGGAAGUUGGGGCGCCCGAAGUUGCCUAAGAAAUAAGGUACCUAAGGCGAAACCAAUGACUGGGGUGAAGUCGUAACAAGGUAGC
rnacentral:rRNA from 1 species